rnacentral:rRNA from 1 species
AUUGAACGCUGGCGGCAUGCCUAACACAUGCAAGUCGAACGGCAGCACGGCAGUAGCAAUACUGUGGGUGGCGAGUGGCGGACGGGUGAGGAAUACGUCGGAAUCUGCCCAGUCGUGGGGGAGUAACUAGCCGAAAGGACUAGCUAAUAACCGCAUACGACCGAGAGGUGAAAGACGGGGGACCGGCAAGGCCUCGCGCGAUUGGAUGAGCCGACGUCGGAUUAGCUAGUUGGUGGGGUAAAGGGACCCACCAAGGCGACGAUCCGUAGCUGGUCUGAGAGGAUGAUCAGCCACACUGGAACUGAGACACGGUCCAGACUCCUACGGGAGGCAGCAGUGGGGAAGUAUUGGACAAUGGGCGCAAGCCUGAUCCAGCAAUGCCGCGUGUGUGAAG